GUGUUCGGAUCGCGGCGACGGGGGCGGUUCGCCGCCCCCGAUGUCGCGAGAAGUCCAUUGAACCUUAUCAUUUAGAGGAAGGAGAAGUCGUAACAAGGUUUCCGUAGGUGAACCUGCGGAAGGAUCAUUGCCGUGACCCUUAAACAAAACAGACCGCGAACGAGUCACCCGUGCCGUCGGGCUCCGGCCCGGCACGCUGCCCCCCCCCCCCGAACCUCCCGCGGGGAAGGGGGGACCGCGAAAAAGAACCCACGGCGCCCCGGGCGCCAAGAAACACCAGUACCACCUCCUGCCCCGCGGAGCGGUCGGCCCGCCUUCCGCUCCCCGGGCAGCGGUUACACCUAAAUCGACACGACUCUCGGCAACGGAUAUCUCGGCUCUCGCAUCGAUGAAGAACGUAGCAAAAUGCGAUACCUGGUGUGAAUUGCAGAAUCCCGCGAACCAUCGAGUUUUUGAACGCAAGUUGCGCCCGAAGCCUUCUGGCGGAGGGCACGUCUGCCUGGGCGUCACGCCAAAAGACACUCCCAACACCCCCCCGCGGGGCGAGGGACGUGGCGUCUGGCCCCCCGCGCCGCAGGGCGAGGUGGGCCGAAGCAGGGGCUGCCGACGAACCGCGCCAGACGCAGCACGUGGUGGGCGACAUCAAGUUGUUCUCGGUGCAGCGUCCCGGCGCGCGGCCGGCCAUUCGGCCCUAAGGACCCAUCGAGCGACCGAGCUUGCCCUCGGACCGCGACCCCAGGUCAGUCGGGACUACCCGCUGAGUUUAAGCAUAUAAAUAAGCGGAGGAGAAGAAACUUACGAGGAUUCCCCUAGUAACGGCGAGCGAACCGGGAGCAGCCCAGCUUGAGAAUCGGGCGGCCUCGCCGCCCGAAUUGUAGUCUGGAGAGGCGUCCUCAGCGACGGACCGAGCCCAAGUUCUCUGGAAAGGGACGCCUGGGAGGGUGAGAGCCCCGUCCGGCCUGGACCCUGUCGCACCACGAGGCACCGUCAACGAGUCGGGUUGUUUGGGAAUGCAGCCCAAAUCGGGCGGUAAACUCCGUCCAAGGCUAAAUACAGGCGAGAGACCGAUAGCGAACAAGUACCGCGAGGGAAAGAUGAAAAGGACUUUGAAAAGAGAGUCAAAGAGUGCUUGAAAUUGCCGGGAGGGAAGCGGAUGGGGGCUGGCGACGCGCACCGGCCGUAUGCGGAACGACUCCUGCUGGUCCGCCGAUCGGCUCGGGGCGUGGACCGUUGUCGCCCGCGCCGGCGGCCAAAGCCCGGGGGCCCUAGGCGCCCCCGGCAGCUGUCACACCCGGUUUUGGAAGGCAAACCGAAUGCGAACUAUGUACGUGCCAGGAUCAGAACUCACGUACACAGCGAUUACAUAAAUGAACAUCAUCGCACAAUGCUCGAAUAAUAACUUAAAAGAGUAUUAACUUAUUACAUCACAGAGUCAUAGACAUCAACAUAGUCAUCGUCUUGACAGGUAAAUCAAAGUACUAGCGAAACGCAGUAAAGAAAAGGCCUCCACAGGCAGCUGACUGGGGGUUGCCGCCAACCCACCCCUAGAAUUCGUCGUAGUCUUGGAACUCCUGGAAGUCUCCUUCCACGACUUCGUCUCCUCCUGAGCAGUGGUUGCAAUGUGGACAACCUGGUGUUUUGUGGUAAAGCAAGGAUGAGUACACAUCAACGUACUCAGCAAAUGUCCCGUUUGGCUGAAGUGGACUAGCUUUAUGUGGGGUUAGGCUCAAGCAGUUGCUUUUAGUUGGUCAAGUAUUUAUCAUUAGUAGAAGCCAGAUUUUAACAUUAACCAACCCGUAAACCAUUUCCUCAUCGAGGAACAUCAUCAUCAUCGUCGAACCAAAACCAUAACAUAAUCCUUGUAUCUCGAACCAUCUGUAUCUCUAAUCAAAGAGGAUCCCAAGGCUGCUCUUAACCGUGAGCACGGCUGAUAUAUCAGUUUCACUACCCUCUGCAGAGGUUGCACACUUUACCCAUGAGUCGUGAUUCCCUUUCUACCCGGGGAGAGCUAAUCCCCAUUGAUCACUUCCUAGGUGGUCCGGCAGGGCAUCACUACGUAGCUUUUACAAAGAUUCCCUAGAGAUCGUAGCUGCCCGUUAGGUUUCUCCAGUUUGAUAAACACAGUACCCCUCCCCGCAGGAGAGUUACUAACAAAAAAGCAAAACGAAAGAACCUCGGCACUCAGCCUCGGCAGAGCAAGCACUGUGCCUGGACCCCAUUGACGGCACGACGGCGAAGCAACUACACCUCUAGUUCCUCUAAUUAAUUAGCUAAGGGCAUCCCAUUUCACCCUCAUAUUUGCACUGUUAUCCCGGGUGGUCUCUCAACGAACAGGUCCUUACGGAGAGGUACUCAGGAAACAGCCUGAGCCCCCUAGAGUAUCACAAGAUCAUCAACAUCAUCAGGAUAACAGUAUCAUAAAUAGUCACAUCAUGUUCAUUGAUUAAGUUAAGGCAAUAGCAGAGUGCUAACCAUAACAGCCCAUAAGGUCAUCAAGGAUAAAGUAAAGUGUAAAGCUAGUCAAUCCUUAGGUUUCAAGUAAGUAAUGCGGGGUAGUAAGUUAUAAAUGAAUAGGACAUAAUGGGACAGAGGACACUUGCCUUCACCAAACUGCUGAUCAGGGACUUCCUCUGCAACUGCCUCGGGAAACACAGACUACUCGUUGUCUACGUAAAGCAAUCAUUCACACUAUGCACUUGGGAAAGUAACAAACAAAAACAAAAUACCAAACAUAUGCAGCAGAGAGAGGUCACAUGUUCAUAACAGAAAAGGGAUAGGCACUCUGGUGUUCUCUAGGCCUGGGGUAGAGGACUAUACAAAAUGAGUCAUUAUCCACUACUCAGGUUCAAGUCAGUGGUGGGAUUAAAUAAUUAUCUGGUUUAAGUUCCUAAACUUAAGUGUUUGAGUCCAUAAACUUAAGUGCUCCAACUUUUAUUAAAGUCUACUUUCUUUUAUUUAUCUCCAAUAGGGUUCCAAUAACCUUAAUCAUAUCCUAAUGAUUAACCAUUAAUUGGAACAUGGAAACAGCAGGGAAACAUUGCAUAAACAGAUAGAUAAUAAUUUUAUGAACAUUUUGCAAUUUGAAGCACCUAAUUUGGAGUUCAUAUGGCAAAGUUAUGAAUUUUACAAGUUUAGGGGUUAAAAAUAUGCCCUAAGGACCUAUUUUAAAUUAAAUAAAAGGGCUGAGGACUUAACUGCGAGAAACCAGGGACGGCGGGCGCAAAAUCCAGAAAACCGGGGGGUUCUUUAAGAAAAUGCGCGGGCGAAAGGGUAUCGGGCGCUUACAGCCGUUAGAUCUCAGAUCAACGGCCAGGAUUAGAUCCUGCGGGGGCGCGCGGGCGCGCGACAGCCUGGGCGGCUGACAGGCGGGGCCAGCGGGCAGCGCGAGCGCGGGCGCGGCGACUGACAAGCGGGGCCAGCGGGCAGAGCGAGUGCGAGGGUGCGCCGACAGGCGGGGCCCAGUUGGCAGAGAGACGGGGCGCGGGGAAACGGCUCUGGGCCGAUGGAUCUUGGACGGACGGUUGAGAUUGAGUUCGGGUUAUUUGAAUCUGUGCCGUCCGAUCUAAGAUAGACGGCGGGGAUGGGGUGGCUGGCUCCCGUCUUCUUCGGCUAGCUGGGGCGGCGGCGCUCGCCCCCGGGGCGGAGGAGCUCGCCGGAGACGAGGGGAGCGGGGGCCAUGCGGGUUCCCGGGGCGACCUGAGUGGCCGGGGAGGUUGGGGAGGGCACGAGAAACCUAUUGGUGGGGUCUGGGUCGGGGUAAGGGCACCGGAGGAGGGUGGUUCACGGUGGAAUGGCUCGGCGGCGGCGCUAAUCGACUCCGGCGAGAAAUCAAGCGCGAUAGAGUGCAAGACAAGGGCCAAUAGGGGCGGGGGAGGUUCCUUACCUCAAAGCGGCCCCCGUGGACUCCUCAACAGCGACGGAGACGAGACGGUAGCCCGGGUCGACGGUGGCGGCUGCACGGCGGACGGCGGGUGAGCGCGGGCAGAGAGAAAUAGGGAGGGGGAGAGGAGAUUGGAGCGCGUUCCGGGUUGCGGACGCCGGGGCGGAGCUUACCGUGGCAAUGGACACGGCAGAGCUCCAACGGCGACGGAGGAGCAAGCUCGGGCGACAGCGGUUCGCGGCGAUGGCGAUUUGGCAUGCGCGCAGCGAGGGAGAGGGCGAGAGAGAGGGCCGGUUGGUGCGCAAAUGAGGGAGGGGGAGAGGGCGAGUGAGGUUCGGGGCUCUAGUGGCCGAGGGCGGGGUUGGGGCGAGCUCCCCACGCGCGACGUGGGCGCGGAGAAGGCGGGCGCGCGCGGCUCGGCGGCGGUUACGCGAGAACGGCGAAGCUGACAGUCGGGGCCCGCGGCGCAGAGAGAGAGAAAAAAGCGGGUGUGGGCGCGAGGAAAGCGGGGCUGACGGGCUGGGCCCACGGGCAGAGAGAGCGAGGGAGAUGGCGCACGCGCGGUGAAGCGGGAGCGCCGACAGGUGGGGCCCGCUGCGCAGAGAGAGGAGAAGAAAGCGGGAGGGCGCGCGCGCGAGUUGGGCCUGAUGGGCCGAAAGGCCGAGCGGGCGGGGGUAGCGGGCUACUUUUCCUUUUCUUUUUUACUUUGGAAUUUCCUUCCUCUUUUCUUUUUAUUUUCUCCAUUUGAUUCAAAUUCAAAUGUGCCACAAAUUCAAAUUAGACCUUUUGAGAAUUAUGCACCAAACAAAAGUGAAAUCCAGGGUUCAACAUGAUGCAACAAUUCAUACUCCCUUAGGGUUUAACCUAUCACACUAUUAUUACAAAUAAAAAUAAGCACUUUCUCCUAUAGAAAUGAGAAAGAAAAGAUUGGGGAAGGAUGAGGAAAGAAAAGUAACACCUGAAUUUGUGAAUAUGAGCAAAGAAAUUUUAUACCCCCAAAUUCAGGGUGUUACAGCAGCCGUCGUCGGCGCGGACGGUAUCCGCGCACCUCUGGCGCGCCCCUCGGGGCGCUGCGCCGCAACGGCCUGCGAGCUCCCCAUCCGACCCGUCUUGAAACACGGACCAAGGAGUCUGACAUGCGUGCGAGUCGAUGGGUUCAGAAACCUGAGAUGCGCAAGGAAGCUGACGAGCGGGAGGCCCUCACGGGCCGCACCGCUGGCCGACCCUGAUCUUCUGUGAAGGGUUCGAGUUGGAGCACGCCUGUCGGGACCCGAAAGAUGGUGAACUAUGCCUGAGCGGGGCGAAGCCAGAGGAAACUCUGGUGGAGGCUCGAAGCGAUACUGACGUGCAAAUCGUUCGUCUGACUUGGGUAUAGGGGCGAAAGACUAAUCGAACCAUCUAGUAGCUGGUUCCCUCCGAAGUUUCCCUCAGGAUAGCUGGAGCCCACACAAGUUCUAUCGGGUAAAGCCAAUGAUUAGAGGCAUCGGGGGCGCAACGCCCUCGACCUAUUCUCAAACUUUAAAUAGGUAGGACGGCGUGGCUGCUUCGGUGAGCCGUGCCACGGAAUCGGGAGCUCCAAGUGGGCCAUUUUUGGUAAGCAGAACUGGCGAUGAGGGAUGAACCGGAAGCCGGGUUACGGUGCCAAACUGCGCGCUAACCUAGAACCCACAAAGGGUGUUGGUCGAUUAAGACAGCAGGACGGUGGUCAUGGAAGUCGAAAUCCGCUAAGGAGUGUGUAACAACUCACCUGCCGAAUCAACUAGCCCCGAAAAUGGAUGGCUGUAGCACCCGGAUUUUAGGGGUCCAAAACCCGGGCGCUAACAUAAACACCAGGUAUGCUGGGACCAAGUCUCACACAUAUGAUGUAUAGUGGCAAAGGAUCGAAUGUCACAUCUUUAUAUAUAACCGGAAUUCUAUACAAAAUAAAUAAUUACAUUAUAAGGAGACAACGGUCCAGCAACCCAAAGUUGACUGGGAGACGACGGCCUAGACCUCUCACGAACUCAUCACAGCAUCCUCCAUGAGCAUCAUCCUGCGGUACCUGCUCUUGACCUGUGGUGUAUGUGAGACAGCAAGAGUGAGCUCACAUACGUUCAUCGCUCAACAAGUUGUGGGGAAUAAUGUGCAUGAACUCGCCAAAGAUGGGAGCUCACGUGAAGUGUAAGGCUUACCAAAGAGGAUGGUUAGAGCUGAGCAUUGCUUUUACAGUUGGUCAAAAUUUUAUUAGCAAUUACUAAGUAUAAGUAAAUACCAACCCAGUUAAAUAGUAGAACAAAAGUAACAACUUCACCUGCGAUGCAAUGCAUAUGACAAAUUGAAUUUAGUUCCAUAAUUUAAUCAUGUGAGGGUCCGAGCUGCUCUUGACCGUGAGCACGGCUAGUAUACCAGUUUUACACUCUGCAGAGGUUGCGCAUCUUUACCCACAAGUCGUGUAUCCCAUGUCGCCAGGGUUUGCAAGGCCCUUAGACACUUCCGAGGUGAAUGGCUAGGGAUCCACUACGAGGCCUUUACAAAGUUCCACUAGCUUCCAAAAACCCGCUACAGUUUAUAGGAAGUUCCAAUGCAGGAAUCCCUUGCAGGACCGCCAUCGCAGCAAAAUCCUCCCGAGGGCCUCCCUACACUGACCACUCCCCUACUGCCCUUGCCCCUUUCGGGUAAGGUAGUCUUCCACUAGCUUUCCUAAUUAAUCAGCCAAGGGCGUCCCAUUCCACCCUUGUGGUAGCACUGUUUUCCCGGGCGGUCGCUCCAUGUUCCAAUUAACAUAAUGAUCUUAACAUGAACAGUAAAUAACAACUGAUAACAAAAGUAUGAUCAUGAAUAUUGUAUCUUCAUACCCAAAACCACAUAUAGCACUAGCAAGUACUACCCAAAAAGUUCACAGGUAAUCAAGGUAUAAAGAUAGACAAACUAGGGUAACCUAUUGGGUCCCAUCAAAAUUAACCUAUGCAGAUCAUUAUGAUUAAUUAGAACAUGAGUGGGUAAAAAGAAGUGAUCAAGGGCACAACUUGCCUGGGUCUUGAGAUUCCAGGUACCAGGAUGAUCUUCAGAUGACUCGUGUCCUCACUGCUAGUCGUAGCAUUACAAACAAACAAUGUAUAGGCAGAAUUAACAUUACACCAAACAUAUAUGCAAAAUACAUAUUAAUAAUCUACAUGAUGAAAUAUGAUCACAGGAACAAGAAUUAUUAAUUUUGGAGUUAUAGAAUUCAAGUUAUGAAUUUCCUAAGAUUUAAGGUGAUUAUAAUAGGAUUUAGAUGAUAAAUUAAUUUCCUAACAGAGUUCAUGUCAAAACAGUGAUUCUAAAUGAUAGAGAAUAUUAUUACAAAAUUUUAGGAAUUGGAAUGACUCAAUUUGGAGCUAAAAUGAAUUAAAUAUGAAUUAUACAAGUUUUAAGAUUUAUUUUUAUACUAAAAAUCAAUUUUUAAUAUUAAUAAUCUUAUUUCUCUGUUAUCUGGACUGCGCCUCAAUUAAACAGAAGCGCAGGGGGCUCGGUGCAAGAAUUCCCAGACACAGGGAACAGUUAAACGGGGAUGGCGGGUUGAUUCCAGAAAUCCCCAGGGUCUCUUUAACAAAAAGUCACGGCGAAGGGGUACGGUUAACUCUCGACCGUUGGAUCUGUUUUCAAGGGACAAGAUUAGAUCGGUGUAUUAUGCGAACCGGUAUUCAAUCCGGGCCGCAGGAUUCACGAUCAACGACCCAUAUUUUAAGUAAUCACGACUGCCCCAGGGCCAUCCGAUCAAAAUCAACGGAUCCGAUUCCAUGUACGAAGCGUUAUUCUCUCUUCUAAUCUCGAACGUCCGCUCCACGAUCAACGGCCCCCAUCGUUUCACCCAAUCCCGCCCCAAACACGGCGGCGCCGCCCAGUGGCCGCGGCGAGCCAUCGCCGGAGGAGUUCAAUUCGGGUGAUUCCGUACCCCAAUCGCAACAAUAAUUGGUGCUACACAAUCCUUGCGACGUGACGACUACUUGGGUGGAGUACUCACCGGCGAUAAUGUUGUGGCGAAGGCUGUCCACGGUGAGGGGCGGCUUCACGGCGGACGGUAAAGAUCGGCGAGCAAUUCCCCCGGUUUCCCCGGCUUAUGAGCCCGAUGAACCGCGCCAACACGAUCCUGGCAUGAUGGCAAGGCCCCCCCGACCUUUAUCCGACCACCGACCGCCAGCGAAGGUGGAAGUCGAGUGCGGCGGCCACCAUUUUCACCCCACUGCUUUCGUCGUUCCGCGCGGCGCACGCGAAAUUGGGGAGAAGAGAGAAGAGGGGAGAUUCUUAUAGUGCCAAGGGACGAGGCCGAGGUGAGGAUUCCGGUCAAUGGCUCCGAGGUUCGCGGCAAGCUCCGCCACGGCCGGGAUUCCGUUGAGGGCGAAUACACCGAGCGGAUGGGCAGCUGACAGGUGGGUCCCCAAUCGCAGCGAUACAGGGAGACCGUGACCGCGCGCGAGAGAACCUGAUAGAUGGGGCCCGCAUGGCAGUCAGAGCGCGCGGGAUGAAGUCUGGGCCGCGCGCGCGAAGUGAAAUGGGCCGAACAGAGAUGGUUUCGGCCCAGGAGCGUUUUUCCAUUUUUGUUUUCUUUUUCUUUUAUAAUUUCUGUUUUAUUUCCAAAUCAAAAUUCAAACCAAAUUCAAACUAUGGUUUUUUUUAAAAUUUCCAGAUUUCAAGUACCAAGUCAGAUUUUAAUUAUUCUAUUACUUGCACUGAAAUUAUUUAUUUAUUAUUCUCUAUAUUGUGUAAAUAUGGAAGAAAAGAAUUACUUUAUUAAAAUUUCCUUUCUUCUUUUAGUUUCCAAAUUCCAUUUUAAAUUCAGAUUUUAAAUUCAAAUCUUGUGCCAGCUUAUCCUCAAUUUAUAUUGUGAAAUAAAAAGUAUAAAUUUUGGAAAUAUAUAAAUUUACUUUAUAUUAUUUAUAUAUAUAUAUCUUCUCUCUUUCACUUCUACAUAAUAUUUCCAAAAACCCUAAAGUGCAACUUUGGGUUAACUUCCAAUUCUCAAUUCCUUUAUUAUAUUUUAUUAUUAUUUUAAAUGCACAUACAAUUAAAACUCCAUCAUGAGUGCCAAAUAUGGUUCUAUUUAUUAUUUUAUUCACUUAAGCAAAUGCUUUUAAAUAGGGAGAUGAGUCUUCAAAUGUUAUGAGAGUUCUAAAGAGAGAGAAAAAGAAAAAUUCUAAUGCAAGAUCUUUGAAAAUUUUUACUAUAUUCUCAAAAUGAGAUUUAGGGUGUUACAAAUCCUACCCCCCUUAAAAAUAAUCUCGUCCUCGAGAUUUGUAAGGACAGGGAUGUAAAAGCUUUAUUUAUAGUUUAGCCUUUAACUUUUAGUUAGUUUAGGAAUUGAGAAGUUUCAUAUUAUUUAGAUAGUGGUUAUAAAAGCUUGGGUAUGUAUAUCCACUCUAUUGUGUAUGGUAAAAGAUGUCUUUAAAGCAUAGAGAAGUUUGGUUAAGAAAGGGUAGGAUGAGGAAAGACUCCAUCCAAGAUUGUGGAUCUUGACUCCGUUGGCGAUUCAACUUGAUCUUUGAAGUCUUGAGUUGAUGCUUAUCCUUCUUUGACGUGGUUGGUCUCCUUUGGCCUUUCUUCUUGGAGUUGCCAUCCGAGUUAAGGACAUAUGGUUAAGAUAUAUGUGGUAAGAUAGACUACAUGAUAUGGGUCAAAAUCUGGUUUGAUGUCAGGUGGUGGUUAAUAGAUUAUGCAAUCCAUUAAGACUCUAUUGAUUGGGUAAGUUAUGUAACUUGUUAUAUAGGUCAAGUUGUUGGGUAUGGCCAAGUUGAUAUAAGUCUCCAAAUUAGGUUUAAGUAAUUUAGGAGUAUGGCCUUAUUUUUUUUUCUACCAGCAUUAAGUAACUCACACUAGAUUAGACCAUAUUAAAUUAGAUAUGAUCUAGAUUAGACUAGUUUUAGUUAGAUAGAUUUAUCAGGGUAAGAUAUAUCUUGUUAGGAUAUGUUAGAAUCUUUUGAGAUAGGAUGGGGUAUACGGUGUAGAUAGGUCAAAAGCUCUAUUAGGUUAACACAGAGGGAUUAUGCAACUAUCGGAUGGGUAAGGUAGUUGCAUAUGUAUAUUGUCAAGUUAAUCUAGGGCAUCAAUUUAGCUUAAAUCAUUUUUAUAGGAGUGAGGUCUAAUCCAUUUCACUAGUACUAACUAAUUUAUUAAAUAACUCACUUUAGAUUGGAUCAUAUUAGAUUAGAUGGAAUCUAGAUUGGUAUCACCGGAUUAGUCUAGACAAUAUCUAAUUACUUUGGAUUAGAUCAUGGUUGUUACUAGGGCGGGGUAAUUAUGCUAAUUAGGGCAAGAUGAAUCCAUAAGGAUAUGGUAGAAUCUUUUGAGGUCAGUUAGAUCUAUUAAGAUGGGAUAAGUAAAGUGGUUGGGAUAAGAUGAAUCCUUCAAGAUAAGAUGAAUCUAUGGGUGUAGGAUAGAAUCUUUUAAGAUGAGAUGGAUCUAUUAAGAUAAGAGAGAACCUUGUAAGAUAAGAUGGAUCUAUAUACAUUAGGAUAAGUUAAGACCUUUGAGAUAAGAUAGAUCUAUGAGAUAGAAUUUCUUAAGAUGAGAUGAAUCUAUUAAGCUAGAUACAUUUUUUUUAAUGAGGGAUAAUCCAAUUUAUCUAGUUACUUUUAUAAGCAUUUUUUUAUAUGUUUAUGCAAAUGUAAUUAUGGACAUUACUCCACAACUAAUCACACUCAAUCAAAGAUCCAAAUCAUACAAGUAUCAUAAGAACAAACAUUCAAGUUCAUAGAUAUCUAUAAAAAUAGUUUUGUUUUUGUUCCUAAGAGUAGGUCUCCUAUUCCUAAAGGUCACUUCAGUCACAGGAUUUCAAAGUGUGAAAUCCACAUUUGUCUUUAGAAAGAAAAGAUAAGAAUAAUCAGAGUAAGCGGAAAUAGAUGAGAAAAAGAUUAAGAUAAGUUUAGAAAGGAUCAGAGUAGCAAAGGUAAGUAGAUAAUGGUUGUCCAGUUCUAUCUAGGUUUCGUCCUACAGUCAACAUUCCUCUCAUACCACUUCUGUAGCACCCGGAUUUUAGGGGUCCAAAACCCGGGCGCUAACAUAAACACCAGGUAUGCUGGGACCAAGUCUCACACAUAUGAUGUAUAGUGGCACAGGAUCGAAUGUCACAUCUUUAUAUAUAACCGGAAUUCUAUACAAAAUAAAUAAUUACAUUAUAAGGAGACAACAGUCCAGCAACCCAAAGUUGACUGGGAGACGACGGCCUAGACCUCUCACGAACUCAUCACAGCAUCCUCCAUGAGCAUCAUCCUGCGGUACCUGCUCUUGACCUGUGGUGUAUGUGAGACAGCAAGAGUGAGCUCACAUACGUUCAUCGCUCAACAAGUUGUGGGGAAUAAUGUGCAUGAACUCGCCAAAGAUGGGAGCUCACGUGAAGUGUAAGGCUUACCAAAGAGGAUGGUUAGAGCUGAGCAUUGCUUUUACAGUUGGUCAAAAUUUUAUUAGCAAUUACUAAGUAUAAGUAAAUACCAACCCAGUUAAAUAGUAGAACAAAAGUAACAACUUCACCUGCGAUGCAAUGCAUAUGACAAAUUGAAUUUAGUUCCAUAAUUUAAUCAUGUGAGGGUCCGAGCUGCUCUUGACCGUGAGCACGGCUAGUAUACCAGUUUUACACUCUGCAGAGGUUGCGCAUCUUUACCCACAAGUCGUGUAUCCCAUGUCGCCAGGGUUUGCAAGGCCCUUAGACACUUCCGAGGUGAAUGGCUAGGGAUCCACUACGAGGCCUUUACAAAGUUCCACUAGCUUCCGAAAACCCGCUACAGUUUAUAGGAAGUUCCAAUGCAGGAAUCCCUUGCAGGACCGCCAUCGCAGCAAUAUCCUCCCGAGGGCCUCCCUACACUGACCACUCCCCUACUGCCCUUGCCCCUUUCGGGUAAGGUAGUCUUCCACUAGCUUUCCUAAUUAAUCAGCCAAGGGCGUCCCAUUCCACCCUUGUGGUAGCACUGUUUUCCCAGGCGGUCGCUCCAUGUUCCAAUUAACAUAAUGAUCUUAACAUGAACAGUAAAUAACAACUGAUAACAAAAGUAUGAUCAUGAAUAUUGUAUCUUCAUACCCAAAACCACAUAUAGCACUAGCAAGUACUACCCAAAAAGUUCACAGGUAAUCAAGGUAUAAAGAUAGACAAACUAGGGUAACCUAUUGGGUCCCAUCAAAAUUAACCUAUGCAGAUCAUUAUGAUUAAUUAGAACAUGAGUGGGUAAAAAGAAGUGAUCAAGGGCACAACUUGCCUGGGUCUUGAGAUUCCAGGUACCAGGAUGAUCUUCAGAUGACUCGUGUCCUCACUGCUAGUCGUAGCAUUACAAACAAACAGUGUAUAGGCAGAAUUAACAUUACACCAAACAUAUAUGCAAAAUACAUAUUAAUAAUCUACAUGAUGAAAUAUGAUCACAGGAACAAGAAUUAUUAAUUUUGGAGUUAUAGAAUUCAAGUUAUGAAUUUCCUAAGAUUUAAGGUGAUUAUAAUAGGAUUUAGAUGAUAAAUUAAUUUCCUAACAGAGUUCAUGUCAAAACAGUGAUUCUAAAUGAUAGAGAAUAUUAUUACAAAAUUUUAGGAAUUGGAAUGACUCAAUUUGGAGCUAAAAUGAAUUAAAUAUGAAUUAUACAAGUUUUAAGAUUUAUUUUUAUACUAAAAAUCAAUUUUUAAUAUUAAUAAUCUUAUUUCUCUGUUAUCUGGACUGCGCCUCAAUUAAACAGAAGCGCAGGGGGCUCGGUGCAAGAAUUCCCAGACACAGGGAACAGUUAAACGGGGAUGGCGGGUUGAUUCCAGAAAUCCCCAGGGUCUCUUUAACAAAAAGUCACGGCGAAGGGGUACGGUUAACUCUCGACCGUUGGAUCUGUUUUCAAGGGACAAGAUUAGAUCGGUGUAUUAUGCGAACCGGUAUUCAAUCCGGGCCGCAGGAUUCACGAUCAACGACCCAUAUUUUAAGUAAUCACGACUGCCCCAGGGCCAUCCGAUCAAAAUCAACGGAUCCGAUUCCAUGUACGAAGCGUUAUUCUCUCUUCUAAUCUCGAACGUCCGCUCCACGAUCAACGGCCCCCAUCGUUUCACCCAAUCCCGCCCCAAACACGGCGGCGCCGCCCAGUGGCCGCGGCGAGCCAUCGCCGGAGGAGUUCAAUUCGGGUGAUUCCGUACCCCAAUCGCAACAAUAAUUGGUGCUACACAAUCCUUGCGACGUGACGACUACUUGGGUGGAGUACUCACCGGCGAUAAUGUUGUGGCGAAGGCUGUCCACGGUGAGGGGCGGCUUCACGGCGGACGGUAAAGAUCGGCGAGCAAUUCCCCCGGUUUCCCCGGCUUAUGAGCCCGAUGAACCGCGCCAACACGAUCCUGGCAUGAUGGCAAGGCCCCCCCGACCUUUAUCCGACCACCGACCGCCAGCGAAGGUGGAAGUCGAGUGCGGCGGCCACCAUUUUCACCCCACUGCUUUCGUCGUUCCGCGCGGCGCACGCGAAAUUGGGGAGAAGAGAGAAGAGGGGAGAUUCUUAUAGUGCCAAGGGACGAGGCCGAGGUGAGGAUUCCGGUCAAUGGCUCCGAGGUUCGCGGCAUGCUCCGCCACGGCCGGGAUUCCGUUGAGGGCGAAUACACCGAGCGGAUGGGUAGCUGACAGGUGGGUCCCCAAUCGCAGCGAUACAGGGAGACCGUGACCGCGCGCGAGAGAACCUGAUAGAUGGGGCCCGCAUGGCAGUCAGAGCGCGCGGGAUGAAGUCUGGGCCGCGCGCGCGAAGUGAAAUGGGCCGAACAGAGAUGGUUUCGGCCCAGGAGCGUUUUUCCAUUUUUGUUUUCUUUUUCUUUUAUAAUUUCUGUUUUAUUUCCAAAUCAAAAUUCAAACCAAAUUCAAACUAUGGUUUUUUUUUAAAUUUCCAGAUUUCAAGUACCAAGUCAGAUUUUAAUUAUUCUACUACUUGCACUGAAAUUAUUUAUUUAUUAUUCUCUAUAUUGUGUAAAUAUGGAAGAAAAGAAUUACUUUAUUAAAAUUUCCUUUCUUCUUUUAGUUUCCAAAUUCCAUUUUAAAUUCAGAUUUUAAAUUCAAAUCUUGUGCCAGCUUAUCCUCAAUUUAUAUUGUGAAAUAAAAAGUAUAAAUUUUGGAAAUAUAUAAAUUUACUUUAUAUUAUUUAUAUAUAUAUAUCUUCUCUCUUUCACUUCUACAUAAUAUUUCCAAAAACCCUAAAGUGCAACUUUGGGUUAACUUCCAAUUCUCAAUUCCUUUAUUAUAUUUUAUUAUUAUUUUAAAUGCACAUACAAUUAAAACUCCAUCAUGAGUGCCAAAUAUGGUUCUAUUUAUUAUUUUAUUCACUUAAGCAAAUGCUUUUAAAUAGGGAGAUGAGUCUUCAAAUGUUAUGAGAGUUCUAAAGAGAGAGAAAAAGAAAAAUUCUAAUGCAAGAUCUUUGAAAAUUUUUACUAUAUUCUCAAAAUGAGAUUUAGGGUGUUACAAUGGCGCUGAAGCGCGCGACCCACACCCGGCCAUCUGGGCGAGCGACAUGCCCCGAUGAGUAGGAGGGCGCGGCGGCCGCCGCAAAACCCGGGGCGCGAGCCCGGGCGGAGCGGCCGUCGGUGCAGAUCAUGGUGGUAGUAGCAAAUAUUCAAAUGAGAACUUUGAAGGCCGAAGAGGAGAAAGGUUCCAUGUGAACGGCACUUGCACAUGGGUAAGCCGAUCCUAAGGGACGGGGGAAACCCGGCAGAUAGCGCGAUCACGCGUGUCACCCGAAAGGGAAUCGGGUUAAGAUUUCCCGAGCCGGGACGUGGCGGCAGACGGCAACGUUAGGAAGUCCGGAGACGCCGGCGGGGGCCUCUGUGGCGGAACCGCCCGAAUUAUUCCAACUUAAGUGCCUAAGUCCACCUUAGAGGCUAGACCACACUUAAGUAGGAAUAAAACGUCAGUCCCUCGGAUCUAGUCCGAUAAAGCCACUUACCAGGAUCGAAUACCACUAGCUCACUCGAAGGUGAGGCACAGAGAAAUACAAUAAAGCAUAAUACCACAAAUUUAAUAAGUAUCAUUAGUGAUUACAUUAUCGGAGUUUCAGAAAUAAUAAUCAUAAAUUUUAAUGCAGCGGAAAUAACUAACGGAGAAAACCGAGUAACAUGGCGAAGCCUGGCCACGCUACUCCUCCUGGUCCUCUCCUGCGGAAGCAGUAACCCACUCGACCGUCUAUCCCGGUGGCAGGGAUGGAGGUCAAGUCACACCAGCAACCAAUCACCCUAAGGGGUACCUGCAAAAAUUGUGCCACAAGCAAGGCUGAGUAUACUAAUACUCAGCUAGACUUACCCGAUGUGAGGAGUCUACUCCUCUACCUCUAGACAUGCAGCUAUUUGGCUGAGGGGUUUGGUUUGCCAAAAGCACUAGCUAAGUCUAAAAACCAGUUUUAGCUUUCCAAGUUUUAGUAGAAUCCUUUAGACUAGAUGUGUACCUAGCUAAUCAUACAUGGUAUCAAACAUUUUAUCAAUCAACAUCUUUUGCCAAGUCAACACAUUUCCACUUGUUACUCAAUGUAGCAGCAUGGAUCAAGCAGUCUCAUUAGCUGCGAGAAGCAGACGAUUCGAAUCGAGUUUUUUAAACCUUGCAAGGUAAACCUAAACACACGACAUGUAGGGGCACUCCGUCCCCACACAUAUCAACCGUCCCCAUCGAUUCCCUGGCAACAGAAAGGGGCUCACCGCCUUGGCGUACAAUGCCUCACUGACCCCGACUGGCCGUCGUGCAGUGACCGCACUUGUACCCACCAUAACCGGAAUGGGAGACCUCGUCUCAGGUCGCGUGAGGAGGGCAAUCUGCGGGCAGGUUCACUCAGGUACUAGGCUUACCGAUUUACCAUAUUUCUCGGUAUGUGUUUAGUACGUUCAAACGCUUGACUCACGGUACCACACCUUAAUCCUUAUUCAAAUUUCAUCUCGUAGACAAUGCAUCCCCAUGGACCGUUGUCCACAGACCACCAUCAUUAUGAUAUCAAAAUGGAUACAACCAAUUCCUGACCUCGCGCGAGUGCUAGAAAAAUCACUCGACUUCUACCGAGAUCCCUAUUUAGUAAAGCAGCUACUCGACCUAGCAUACUAGUAUCCAUCUCAAAGGGAAUCCUGAGUUCAUGCAACUAGGGUUUCAGUCAACUCCUACACUUAAGUGCACAGUACAAGCCUACAACAUUAAGUGCAGUAAAAUAGCAUAUAUAACGGUUAUGCAUAAAACCGGGGCUUGCCUUUAUUUUGACACUUAGAUAGUGUUUGCUGGGGUGGGUACUCGCUUGGCGAGCAUCCAGUGGUUAAGUCCAUCCUUCCUUGGGUCGUCCACCAACGCCAUCCUGUGGUUGGCACCAUAUCACGUGCACGAUCACCAUCUCUCGGUCCUAAAUGAGAUGUAAGAUGCAUAUGUAUGAAUAUAAUGAAAAGUUAUCACAAGAUAUACAAUACACGGUAGCGAACUAAACACCAAGUAGUAAGACACCGCAAUGACUAUACACAAGCGCUAGCUAUUCGUACGUUAUCAGCGUUCAUCAUUAACACCAUUAACAAGACGACCAUAUCUUAUUUAUUUACGCAACACAAAUACGAUAUCACAGGUACACGCAUUUAUUUAAUUGCUACGACUUUGCGUUAGUUCUAUUGAUCACACAAAAGCAUCACAAACAAGUUUAACAGAGGACCGAUGCAUCCAAGUCGACGGACUCAUCUAUCUCAAUCAACUACAGCAAGCAAGCACCUUAAUCAUGGAACACAUGUUAGUCUAUGUUUAGCCAUUACGAGUCUAUGCCCGCUAAGUGCUAACUAAGCAUUUUUAGCCAAACGGGUGAACUCAAUCAUCAAAUGGGCACUUGCAGAUUUUUGGACAGCAAUACAGCAGUCACUUGUUUUAAUCAUAACUUUUAAAAUAUGAAUCCAAAAAUAGCAAACUAGGACUUUUUGGAAAGCUUAAAAAGUGCUCUACAACUUUGGUAUUGUCAUCACAACCUGAUUAAACACUUAGCAAGGUCGAAUUGUGCAAACACAGCAGCUCUGUCCAGAUUUGGACAGAUUCAGACUUGCAGCUUCAAAAAUUCACAACAAAAGAUUCAGACAUCCAAACAAAGUGGUCCUAGACUUUCUGGAAAGCUAAUUAAAUGUUCUACAAAUUAUUUAUAAACAUCCCUGGCUGGUUUAGCAUGUAUCAAGGGUAAAAUAUACUAUGAAGGCUGUGCUGUCCAAAACUGGACAGAUUCAGUCUUCACACUUCAAACACAUGUAACUUAAUCUUCAGACCACCAAAAAUAGUGAUCCAAAACUUUUUGGAAAGCUUGGAAAAAGCACUACAUAACUUUUAUAAUCACUAAGAAGUGAUUCCAGGUUUAAUCAAAUCAAACAUUACAGUUUUCGAAAUCUGUUCUGACAGAGGACAGAACACAGCAAGCAGUUUAUAAAAUUCAUAACUCUUAAACUAUCAGGCCUGUGGUUAUGAAAUUUUAACACAAGAAAGAUCAGAAAAGCAUCUACAACUUUCUUAUAACGACCAUAAACAGAUUGCAACAUUAAAUUGAACAAACAAUGCAGUUUCUGAAAUCUGUACAGAAUUUGGACAGAUUCAGUCACUGAAUUUGUAAAAAUCCUAACUCCUAAACCUUCAGACCUAUGGCUGUCAAAUUUUAACACCAGCAAGAUAAUAAAGUUAUCUACCACUUUUCUAUAGCACCUAUCUACAGAAAACACAAUUUGGGUCAUCAAACAUACAGCACAACGAAAACAGUACGUGCAGUCCAAAACAGCAAUCAAUACAUUUCAGCUUCUAUACAAUUCAAGAAUUGCCGCGUUCUAGAGACUUGAAUUAUUCUAACACUUUACCAAUUGUUAGAGUUAAAAUAAUCAUAUGAGGACUAACAAGUAGACUCACUAAUUUUCAUCCAAGUUAUUUAGUGCACUAAAACUACUACAACCAAUCAACGACGCAUUCUCUAUAACAAUCAAUAUCGAAGCGCUUUUCACCAAUAGUUUGCAUCUCAAUUUAGACAUCACGUGAGCACUACCACUUUUCAUUCACGACCAUAACCACACACAUUUAGGCUACAACAAGCAAUUCACCGUGAUUACGAGCUUAACCACGCCAUCUAACAAUUCGGUUAACUAGAGCAACGACAUCGCCGCUAAAUAACAUACACGUCAACUUGCCUAUUAUUGCCGCAAUCCGAGACACAACAUAUACUACAACAUUUAACGAAAUCGACUCCUACUUAAUAUGAGUUGGCUAAUCAUAGUAUAAGACAUAGCGAACCAUUUUAGACAUCGUAACUCAAGAACAUGGGUUGGAGCCGAUUGAUCAGUGUUUCUCAACCAUUGCUCAACUUAAUUUAGUUAACACACCAGUCACCUAAAACAGCACAUUGUUGGGGUCUAACCUAGAGGCAUUUACAUACGGCGUAAAACUCCAUAAGUCUUACAUUUGCUACUGAAGGACCUAAGGCACUUAUGUGCAUAUGUUAUCGGAUUGUUCUUCGAUUCUAACAAGGACUGAAUUACGCACGCUACUCGCCUCCAAUAAUUAUUGGGCUGCGAUAACGCUCGUAUAAGAUCUCUAAUCGAUUAACAAGACAUUUAUUUAUCCAAAGGGGCAUGGAAUGUGAUAAUUGACAAAGCAAAGCAUCACAUUGCCAUACAACAAAAAUCAAGACAACACCUAGAUACUAUCCACUAAUCAUUUGAAAAAUUAAACUUACUUCUCGCCUUACCACUACACCACUCUUUAGUCACAUGACCAUCAUGUGCAUCCUUUAUUCGAUUAUACGACAGCAACCUAAACGUUGUGUUAUACAAUACAUACAUCUUUCUUCGUUGCGAGUAUAACCAUAUUAUAGUAUAUACCCGCACACCUCAAUCAAAUACCUUACACCACCACCACUAUAAUAUACACCACGACACACACGCACAUACGUGUCCCUAUAUUACGCACAAGACAUCAACCGCAUUAGUGACUCCAACAGGAUUAAUCAUACACCUCAUUCGCCUCGACUAUCCCAAUCAUCGAUCACAUGCAUAAAACAAUUACACUUUUCACAUAGACGCCUAUCGAUGCAUCCGUAAAACAAAAUCCGCAUUUUGCUACCUAGUCUCCACAUCAAACAACACACCACAUAUAUUCCUAUCGAACUAUAAAAACAUCCGAGUUCUUUUCUACUUCUUUUUCUUCUCUACACGCCUCCAUUCAUACAAAUUUAUUUUCACACAUAAUCACACAUGCACAUCAUCAACCAAUUUUUUUUACAAGUAGAACAAACCACAAGGAGAAUAACCUGAGCGAAAUGGGACUAGUCACAGGGGGUUGUCCACAUGGCUCGACAUUUCGCCGAACGGACAAGGCGCAAAGCGCGGCGUCGACCACUAGCUGUGAUAACACACAAAAAUUUGUUGGCGACAGUUCAUGGAACAUCACCCAUGUUGGAAAAUAAACAGCAAGGACAGCGGGGUUUUUUUUUCUCACCACGGGUUUCGACUGCAUCGCGAAUGAGGCUGCGCAGCGAGCGGCUUGCUGCGCAUUUUGUCGAACACCUACGACGUGUCGCUGUUGUGGGGCUGCAGGGAAAACUAGGUUGCGAGGCGCUGCGCUGCCGGGAGAGGGAAAUAGGGGCGCUGUCCUUGGGAGGAAGAAGAGCUCCUGCGCAUCGGGGGAGGCUGCUCGCCAUGGACGACGGCGAGCUCGUUGCGGCUGCUGUUUUAUGGGGAAGAGAGGAGGAGCAGGGGAGGGCGUCGGGGAUCCGCUGCUGUGCGCACGCAUGGGCUUGGGGGAGGGAGACGCUGCGCAGGGCGUCGGCCAGAGGUAGAAGAAAGGGGCUCAGCAUCCAUGCUGCUCGCGCCCAUGGAGGGUGCUGCUGUGCAGUAGAAAGAAGAGUUGGGCGCAGGGAGGAAGGGGGAGCCGGCUGGGAAAAAAAAGGGCGCUGCUGCUAGGUGCCAUGGGAGAAGGAGCUGAGCUCCCAGCUUGCUGCACGCCAUGUACAGCAGGGAGAGGGAGGCGCCAUGGUUGGAGCAGAGGUACCCGCGCCCAUGGAGAAGAGGAGCUCGGCUACUGGGCUGCUCGCCGGCCAUGGAGAAGUUCCUGCACGCAGGGGAGAAGGGUUCCCUGCUGCCGGACGCCGCGGAGAAGAGGGAAAGCUUCCUGCGCCAUGGAGAGAGGAGAGCUGGGGGGGCUGCUGCUCGGCCACACCAUUUGAGCCGAGGAGGAAGGGCGCCAUGGGGGCUGGCCUUGCUCCCUGCGCUGGCUGCUGCUGCCGUGAGCAGCGAGGAAGAAGGCAGGGAGUACGACUGGUGGCGGCUAGGGGAAAAAUGGAGGGUGGGAGUGCAAAAUAGCCCAAGUGCAAGGGAAGGGUACCCCUAUUUAUAGAAGAUGGCUAGGGUUAGGGUUUUCUUAGUGGGCCAAAUGGGCUGGGUUGGGCCUGGCCCAAAACACGAAAUCGGGCUACGCUAAAUAUUUUCCGGAAUAAAAAUGCUCGUGUGGAAUUCGUCUGUACGCGGAACAGAGUGAAACAGAGUUCGGACGAACGGACGACUACUCGAUUAACUCGGUCGAGAGUUUGAUUUGACUUUGCUUGAAAAUAAUUCCCUACUCGUGAUUUGAAAAUAAAUCGUCUUAAGAUUUGAUCGGCUUUGGAUUUUUAGUAGGAGAAGGUGAAUCGUGGUAUUUUAAAAUCGCUGUCAAUACGGGGUUUUGAAUUCGGUUCGGACAUGAGAUAUUUGGCUGAGUCGAGUAAGAAUUAAUUAGAGGGUGACGUACAGAGUAUUCCUUUUGAGAGUACGGAUUUGGAUUAAAAUAGUCGAACAUCGAUCGAAGUUCGAGGAAUUGGAUUCGGGCUCAGAUCAGAUAACAGUCGUCGAGAGUUUGAUUUAAUGAGCUUCAGAUGAGAUUUAUAAUUCGAGAAUGAUCUCCGAGUUGCAUUCGUUCUGAGAAAUAAAAGUUUUAACAGGCUCCAAAUUUGGCCUUCUGUGAGAUUGAAUAAUUCCGAAUUUGGUGAAAUGUGAAUGAAUAAUCUGGAUAGUCAGAGACAUACGCGAGCGAGAAAUAGAAAUUUUCACUGAGCAUCCGAGAUUAGGAUAAUUCUUUCGACAUAACCCGAAAUAGACACCUGGGGUGUCACAGCCUUCCCCCCUUAAAAAGAAUCUCGUCCCGAGAUUCGAAUGAGGAUCUUCAAGGGUGGAGAAGCAUGUAACUCCUAGGCUGGAGAUGGAUGCAAAUUUAUGAGAUGUGAUCUGACAAGAUACUGAAGAUAGAUUUGGUUAGAAUAUCACGGCAUGUUGAGACAAAAUGCAGUGAUCACUCUGAGAGAAUGUUCACAAAAGACAGCACAUCGGUAUAGUCUCGCAAUGGAUCACAACUAUUAACCACGAUACCAGCGCGUGCCGAGAAGCUCAACCAUGUGUGCACCAUAGUAGGCUCUCGGUUUCGUCGCGGCACCAUUAGUCGUUAGUCAUGACACCAUUACCAAACGUAACCAAUGAAAAAUCCACAUAGCACAGAUAGAUGGAGCCCAUGAGAGUAUGGCUCCGAAAAUGUGACUGAAGUUGAAGCAAAGAUUGUUGGCAAAAGAGCAUCACAUGAGAAUUUUCUUCAAGUCAGAGAACUAUUUUAUGAUCAUCACGGGAAUUAUCAGCCAAAGAUUGAUACGAUAUUUAAUAUGAGGAGGAACCAACCAUGAGAUCAAGAUUGACAAGCUUUUAGAGACAUGAGAGAUUCAAAGAUAACAACAACAUCCAUUAAUCCACAUGGAUAUGCCGCUUAGAGAUAAGUUGAUAAAACAAGCGUCAUGAUCCUCGAAGAAGGGGGUAGGAGAAUGACCAGAAAUGAGAGAUUUAGGCAAGAUCAACAUCUGAUACUUGAGAACAGGUUAUAGCAGAUAACCAGAUAAUAGGGCAGAAUCAUUAAAGGAUCUAGAUAUUCGGAUGAUAAAGCCAACAUGAUUCACAAGGAAAGAGAUCACCAGAUCCGUGCGAAAGGAGAGGUAGGCAACAAGAUCAGCUAGGAUGAUCGACAGAAAUGCUAUGAAGUUUUAGGGGCAAGGAUUUAUGGAAAGAAACAUGGCUUGGACAUGGUUUGCGCAACUAGACCCAACAUCAAUUUUUUUUGACACAACAAGUGCAUAGGAGACUUGGGUUGGUCUAGCGGUCAAGUUGUGGUGGUCUAUAAGUUGUGCAAGUGUAAAUUCAAGGGUAAAACACUCAAGGGUCAGAAAACACCAACACAAGCAUGUGAUUUGAUUUUUUUUAAAAGGUUUCACUAGGGAACCACUAGAUUAUUUGGGGAAGGGGGUCUUUUCAUAAGCAGGACAGACAACUUUUUUUUGAUAGAGGCAAAAUGGACUAAACAAUUAUCGUAUCUUCUAGAAAGCAAGGCAAGAGGAACACAUAUCACGACCUAGUCAAGACUUACCAAUCUGACACAAGGUAAAGCAUUUUCUUAUAGUUCCUAACAUAGCAGUACAUCACAUUAUUCACCUGUUAUUAUUGGAAUAAAGGUGAGAGAAGCAUGUUGAGGCACAAGAGACAAUUAUAAUGCGACAAUCAUGAUGCAUGCUCAUUCUAGUCGUCUUCUCAGACCUAACUAAUUUUUCGGGUGCUUCUACAGCAUCCUUCCUAAUAAUAGUAGUAGCCUUUAUGGCAUAUAUAAAUAUAGCCACCUAGCUACCCAUCUAUUUCCUAAGGCUUCACGUCCUAGGUCUAUCCUUAUCGUCCUGAUAUCUAUCCAACUUUAGUUUCUAGCAAGUUUUACUUUUAGAAAAGGUUGGUAAUCAUGACUUAUUGACUUCUCUGUGAUGGUAUUCGCUCCGAUACCAGCUGUGGCGGAACCGCCCGAAUUAUUCCAACUUAAGUGCCUAAGUCCACCUUAGAGGCUAGACCACACUUAAGUAGGAAUAAAACGUCAGUCCCUCGGAUCUAGUCCGAUAAAGCCACUUACCAGGAUCGAAUACCACUAGCUCACUCGAAGGUGAGGCACAGAGAAAUACAAUAAAGCAUAAUACCACAAAUUUAAUAAGUAUCAUUAGUGAUUACAUUAUCGGAGUUUCAGAAAUAAUAAUCAUAAAUUUUAAUGCAGCGGAAAUAACUAACGGAGAAAACCGAGUAACAUGGCGAAGCCUGGCCACGCUACUCCUCCUGGUCCUCUCCUGCGGAAGCAGUAACCCACUCGACCGUCAAUCCCGGUGGCAGGGAUGGAGGUCAAGUCACACCAGCAACCAAUCACCCUAAGGGGUACCUGCAAAAAUUGUGCCACAAGCAAGGCUGAGUAUACUAAUACUCAGCUAGACUUACCCGGUGUGAGGAGUCUACUCCUCUACCUCUAGACAUGCAGCUAUUUGGCUGAGGGGUUUGGUUUGCCAAAAGCACUAGCUGAGUCUAAAAACCAGUUUUAGCUUUCCAAGUUUUAGUAGAAUCCUUUAGACUAGAUGUGUACCUAGCUAAUCAUACAUGGUAUCAAACAUUUUAUCAAUCAACAUCUUUUGCCAAGUCAACACAUUUCCACUUGUUACUCAAUGUAGCAGCAUGGAUCAAGCAGUCUCAUUAGCUACGAGAAGCAGACGAUUCGAAUCGAGUUUUUUAAACCUUGCAAGGUAAACCUAAACACACGACAUGUAGGGGCACUCCGUCCCCACACAUAUCAACCGUCCCCAUCGAUUCCCUGGCAACAGAAAGGGGCUCACCGCCUUGGCGUACAAUGCCUCACUGACCCCGACUGGCCGUCGUGCAGUGACCGCACUUGUACCCACCAUAACCGGAAUGGGAGACCUCGUCUCAGGUCGCGUGAGGAGGGCAAUCUGCGGGCAGGUUCACUCAGGUACUAGGCUUACCGAUUUACCAUAUUUCUCGGUAUGUGUUUAGUAUGUUCAAACGCUUGACUCACGGUACCACACCUUAAUCCUUAUUCAAAUUUCAUCUCGUAGACAACGCAUCCCCAUGGACCGUUGUCCACAGACCACCAUCAUUAUGAUAUCAAAAUGGAUACAACCAAUUCCUGACCUCGCGCGAGUGCUAGAAAAAUCACUCGACUUCUACCGAGAUCCCUAUUUAGUAAAGCAGCUACUCGACCUAGCAUACUAGUAUCCAUCUCAAAGGGAAUCCUGAGUUCAUGCAACUAGGGUUUCAGUCAACUCCUACACUUAAGUGCACAGUACAAGCCUACAACAUUAAGUGCAGUAAAAUAGCAUAUAUAACGGUUAUGCAUAAAACCGGGGCUUGCCUUUAUUUUGACACUUAGAUAGUGUUUGCUGGGGUGGGUACUCGCUUGGCGAGCAUCCAGUGGUUAAGUCCAUCCUUCCUUGGGUCGUCCACCAACGCCAUCCUGUGGUUGGCACCAUAUCACAUGCACGAUCACCAUCUCUCGGUCCUAAAUGAGAUGUAAGAUGCAUAUGUAUGAAUAUAAUGAAAAGUUAUCACAAGAUAUACAAUACACGGUAGCGAACUAAACACCAAGUAGUAAGACACCGCAACGACUAUACACAAGCGCUAGCUAUUCGUACGUUAUCAGCGUUCAUCAUUAACACCAUUAACAAGACGACCAUAUCUUAUUUAUUUACGCAACACAAAUACGAUAUCACAGGUACACGCAUUUAUUUAAUUGCUACGACUUUGCAUUAGUUCUAUUGAUCACACAAAAGCAUCACAAACAAGUUUAACAGAGGACCGAUGCAUCCAAGUCGACGGACUCAUCUAUCACAAUCAACUACAGCAAGCAAGCACCUUAAUCAUGGAACACAUGUUAGUCUAUGUUUAGCCAUUACGAGUCUAUGCCCGCUAAGUGCUAACUAAGCAUUUUUAGCCAAACGGGUGAACUCAAUCAUCAAAUGGGCACUUGCAGAUUUUUGGACAGCAAUACAGCAGUCACUUGUUUUAAUCAUAACUUUUAAAAUAUGAAUCCAAAAAUAGCAAACUAGGACUUUUUGGAAAGCUUAAAAAGUGCUCUACAACUUUGGUAUUGUCAUCACAACCUGAUUAAACACUUAGCAAGGUCGAAUUGUGCAAACACAGCAGCUCUGUCCAGAUUUGGACAGAUUCAGACUUGCAGCUUCAAAAAUUCACAACAAAAGAUUCAGACAUCCAAACAAAGUGGUCCUAGACUUUCUGGAAAGCUAAUUAAAUGUUCUACAAAUUAUUUAUAAACAUCCCUGGCUGGUUUAGCAUGUAUCAAGGGUAAAAUAUACUAUGAAGGCUGUGCUGUCCAAAACUGGACAGAUUCAGUCUUCACACUUCAAACACAUGUAACUUAAUCUUCAGACCACCAAAAAUAGUGAUCCAAAACUUUUUGGAAAGCUUGGAAAAAGCACUACAUAACUUUUAUAAUCACUAAGAAGUGAUUCCAGGUUUAAUCAAAUCAAACAUUACAGUUUUCGAAAUCUGUUCUGACAGAGGACAGAACACAGCAAGCAGUUUAUAAAAUUCAUAACUCUUAAACUAUCAGGCCUGUGGUUAUGAAAUUUUAACACAAGAAAGAUCAGAAAAGCAUCUACAACUUUCUUAUAACGACCAUAAACAGAUUGCAACAUUAAAUUGAACAAACAAUGCAGUUUCUGAAAUCUGUACAGAAUUUGGACAGAUUCAGUCACUGAAUUUGUAAAAAUCCUAACUCCUAAACCUUCAGACCUAUGGCUGUCAAAUUUUAACACCAGCAAGAUAAUAAAGUUAUCUACCACUUUUCUAUAGCACCUAUCUACAGAAAACACAAUUUGGGUCAUCAAACAUACAGCACACCGAAAACAGUACGUGCAGUCCAAAACAGCAAUCAAUACAUUUCAGCUUCUAUACAAUUCAAGAAUUGCCGCGUUCUAGAGACUUGAAUUAUUCUAACACUUUACCAAUUGUUAGAGUUAAAAUAAUCAUAUGAGGACUAACAAGUAGACUCACUAAUUUUCAUCCAAGUUAUUUAGUGCACUAAAACUACUACAACCAAUCAACGACGCAUUCUCUAUAACAAUCAAUAUCGAAGCGCUUUUCACCAAUAGUUUGCAUCUCAAUUUAGACAUCACGUGAGCACUACCACUUUUCAUUCACGACCAUAACCACACACAUUUAGGCUACAACAAGCAAUUCACCGUGAUUACGAGCUUAACCACGCCAUCUAACAAUUCGGUUAACUAGAGCAACGACAUCGCCGCUAAAUAACAUACACGUCAACUUGCCUAUUAUUGCCGCAAUCCGAGACACAACAUAUACUACAACAUUUAACGAAAUCGACUCCUACUUAAUAUGAGUUGGCUAAUCACAGUAUAAGACUUAGCGAACCAUUUUAGACAUCGUAACUCAAGAACAUGGGUUGGAGCCGAUUGAUCAGUGUUUCUCAACCAUUGCUCAACUUAAUUUAGUUAACACACCAGUCACCUAAAACAGCACAUUGUUGGGGUCUAACCUAGAGGCAUUUACAUACGGCGUAAAAAUCCAUAAGUCUUACAUUUGCUACUGAAGGACCUAAGGCACUUAUGUGCAUAUGUUAUUGGAUUGUUCUUCGAUUCUAACAAGGACUGAAUUACGCACGCUACUCGCCUCCAAUAAUUAUUGGGCUGCGAUAACGCUCGUAUAAGAUCUCUAAUCGAUUAACAAGACAUUUAUUUAUCCAAAGGGGCAUGGAAUGUGAUAAUUGACAAAGCAAAGCAUCACAUUGCCAUACAACAAAAAUCAAGACAACACCUAGAUACUAUCCACUAAUCAUUUGAAAAAUUAAACUUACUUCUCGCCUUACCACUACACCACUCUUUAGUCACAUGACCAUCAUGUGCAUCCUUUAUUCGAUUAUACGACAGCAACCUAAACGUUGUGUUAUACAAUACAUACAUCUUUCUUCGUUGCGAGUAUAACCAUAUUACAGUAUAUACCCGCACACCUCAAUCAAAUACCUUACACCACCACCACUAUAAUAUACACCACGACACACACGCACAUACGUGUCCCUAUAUUACGCACAAGACAUCAACCGCAUUAGUGACUCCAACAGGAUUAAUCAUACACCUCAUUCGCCUCGACUAUCCCAAUCAUCGAUCACAUGCAUAAAACAAUUACACUUUUCACAUAGACGCCUAUCGAUGCAUCCGUAAAACAAAAUCCGCAUUUUGCUACCUAGUCUCCGCAUCAAACAACACACCACAUAUAUUCCUAUCGAACUAUAAAAACAUCCGAGUUCUUUUCUACUUCUUUUUCUUCUCUACACGCCUCCAUUCAUACAAAUUUAUUUUCACACAUAAUCACACAUGCACAUCAUCAACCAAUUUUUUUUACAAGUAGAACAAACCACAAGGAGAAUAACCUGAGCGAAAUGGGACUAGUCACAGGGGGUUGUCCACAUGGCUCGACAUUUCGCCGAACGGACAAGGCGCAAAGCGCGGCGUUGACCACUAGCUGUGAUAACACACAAAAAUUUGUUGGCGACAGUUCAUGGAACAUCACCCAUGUUGGAAAAUAAACAGCAAGGACAGCGGGGUUUUUUUUCUCACCACGGGUUUCGACUGCAUCGCGAAUGAGGCUGCGCAGCGAGUGGCUUGCUGCGCAUUUUGUCGAACACCUACGACGUGUCGCUGUUGUGGGGCUGCAGGGAAAACUAGGUUGCGAGGCGCUGCGCUGCCGGGAGAGGGAAAUAGGGGCGCUGUCCUUGGGAGGAAGAAGAGCUCCUGCGCAUCGGGGGAGGCUGCUCGCCAUGGACGACGGCGAGCUCGUUGCGGCUGCUGUUUUA
rnacentral:lncRNA from 1 species